rnacentral:rRNA from 1 species
GACGUAGGGAGCGAGCGUUGUCCGGAUUCAUUGGGCGUAAAGCGCGCGUAGGCGGUUUGGUAAGUCGGAUGUGAAAUCCCGAGGCUCAACCUCGGGACGGCAUCCGAUACUGCCCGACUAGAGGUAGGUAGGGGAGAUCGGAAUUCCUGGUGUAGCGGUGAAAUGCGCAGAUAUCAGGAGGAACACCGGUGGCGAAGGCGGAUCUCUGGGCCUUACCUGACGCUGAGGCGCGAAAGCUAGGGGAGCAAACAGG